AGCGCGCGCCCGCCGGCCUCCGCCUCCCUGCACCCUGGCCGUGGGAAGACCUCGGGCGGCUGUUCUGACCUGGGGGGCGGCCCGCAGCCCACGUUCCACGGAGGCUGCGCUUUCUACCCACUUCCAUUCCGCUGUCCAGGCUUCCUGUCCUUGAGGACUCGAGCCUCGCGUGCCUUAGACGGGAACUCCAGGAGGAGCCGUAGGAAGAGAAAAGAGAAGGGGGUGGCGAAUUCUGUUCAGACUCAUCUUUUCCUCUGUUGCUUUUGGUGACCUCUUGGUGAAACCUGAGGGAAAGGAGUCUGCCAAAAUACUCUCCAGGCAGGUGUAGACAUCGACAUCUGGCUACCAAAUCAAUGAGGGAAACCUGAGAAAUGAUUUUUGUGCCGGUUAUUGACUUACUACCUCGCAACUGAAAAUUCACCCUUUUUGACUGCGCUGUGAAAAUGGAUCUGGGCCUUUUAAAGCAUUUCAUGUUUUCUGCUGACAUCCAUGAAAUAGUAACAAGCCCCAGACCUUUCACCGACUCUGAAACUACUCACCUACCUAAGAGAAUCUUGACAUUGUUGGCAUAAUCUUCACCUUUUGUGCUUUCCCUCCCACGAAAGAAAGCUGAGAGAGAAUGAGUCAAGUAACAAAAUAAACUGCUGAGAAGGGGGCUAAAUAAUGGAUCAUCGAACACCGUGCAGAAAACUAAUUCUUUGACCUCAAUUAUAGGAGAAAUACAGCCAAAAGAGAUCAGAAGGAUGUCCCAACUUCUUUUAUGUUUUCUAAAUCUCGCAUGAGUUUAUCUGACAGACCUAAUUCAUAUCCAUAGCUGUAGGUGCAAAGACAUCUAGGAAAUGUUUUAAGCGUCUAGUAUCUACAUUAUGAAAACCACCAUAAGAGAAGAGUAGAAUGGACAUUGAGUGAGCCAACCUGCAAAACUUACCACAGCAUUGGGAAAAAUACAAAGACUUUUAUAGAAUCGUAUAAAUAUAAUGUAUACAGAACAUUAUAAAAUGUUCGAAACUUACCCUGUGCAGGAAAACAUAUACUAUAUGAUUGCUUGUUUGAACUCUGAACUUUUGACAUUAAAUCUUCAUAGCUAUAAUUUAUCCAAGUAAAAAUAUCCUCUAUGCACAAAAUAAUUAAGGCCAAUAAUAUGUCUAAAUGUGCACGUAUCAGAGAUGGGAAAAUUAGUUGUGAUGUAGGAUCAUUACUUUCAUUUUUCUAUAGCCUUUUAUUUGCUGACAUGAUUAUUGGCAUGAUUUUGGAGAAGAGGAGUUUUAUUUCCACCAGACCCCAGACCUUUCUCUAGAUUCUCUUCGGCUCCGAUUUUUCAUAUGUUAACGAAAUACUCAAAUAGGAAAGGCUUAAUAAUUUAGUACUCUAAACUUCAAAGACACUUGGCACAUCCAGACAUUUUACGUGGAGGCUACAAAGCAGCAAAAAGAUUUGCCCAAGAUCUAUGGAGACUGCACUAGAAGCCAGGUUUUCUGACUCCCUGUCCAAAGCUUUCCCAUCACAACAAAACCAAGCCUUAGAUUGUAUGCUUCUUAAUACAGAGUGAUAACAUGUGUAUGUGUCGGUGCGCGUGUGGCUCCACUUAUAUCAAAUUCAAUAACAGGUAAAACCAAGCUAAAUUUUUAGGGAAGCAUACUUACAUAUUGAAAUAUAAACCAAAGCAAAGAAGUGUUAACCAUCAAAGUCUGGUUAUUGGUGAAGGCCAGGAGUUGUUACUGGCAAAAGCCACAUAGGAACUUUUGGGGUGAGAGCAAUGGCUCAAGAAACUCACAGUUUUGUAGGACUCGAGCUUUCUUUGAAAAAAUAAAAAAAAACAAUGUAAUGUA